CACGGAGUUAGCCGGGGCUUCCUCUGACAGUACCGUCAAGACUACGAGUUAUUCACCCGCAGCCCUUCGUCCCGUCUGACAGGAGUUUACGAUCCGAAGACCUUCAUCCUUCACGCGGCGUCGCUGCGUCAGGCUUUCGCCCAUUGCGCAAAAUUCCCCA
rnacentral:rRNA from 1 species